GAUGAACGCUAGCUACAGGCUUAACACAUGCAAGUCGAGGGGCAGCAUUUCAGUUUGCUUGCAAACUGGAGAUGGCGACCGGCGCACGGGUGAGUAACACGUAUCCAACCUGCCGAUAACUCGGGGAUAGCCUUUCGAAAGAAAGAUUAAUACCCGAUGGCAUAAUUAGACCGCAUGGUCUUAUUAUUAAAGAAUUUCGGUUAUCGAUGGGGAUGCGUUCCAUUAGGCAGUUGGUGAGGUAACGGCUCACCAAACCUUCGAUGGAUAGGGGUUCUGAGAGGAAGGUCCCCCACAUUGGAACUGAGACACGGUCCAAACUCCUACGGGAGGCAGCAGUGAGGAAUAUUGGUCAAUGGGCGCAGGCCUGAACCAGCCAAGUAGCGUGAAGGAUGACUGCCCUAUGGGUUGUAAACUUCUUUUAUAUGGGAAUAAAGUUUUCCACGUGUGGAAUUUUGUAUGUACCAUAUGAAUAAGGAUCGGCUAACUCCGUGCCAGCAGCCGCGGUAAUACGGAGGAUCCGAGCGUUAUCCGGAUUUAUUGGGUUUAAAGGGAGCGUAGGUGGACAGUUAAGUCAGUUGUGAAAGUUUGCGGCUCAACCGUAAAAUUGCAGUUGAUACUGGCUGUCUUGAGUACAGUAGAGGUGGGCGGAAUUCGUGGUGUAGCGGUGAAAUGCUUAGAUAUCACGAAGAACUCCGAUUGCGAAGGCAGCUCACUGGACUGCAACUGACACUGAUGCUCGAAAGUGUGGGUAUCAAACAGGAUUAGAUACCCUGGUAGUCCACACAGUAAACGAUGAAUACUCGCUGUUUGCGAUAUACAGUAAGCGGCCAAGCGAAAGCAUUAAGUAUUCCACUGGGGGAGUACGCCGGCACGNNUGAACUCNNAAGGAAUGACGGGGGGCCCGCACAAGCGGAGGAACAUGUGGUUUAAUUCGAUGAUACGCGAGGAACCUUACCCGGGCUUAAAUUGCAUUUGAAUAUAUUGGAAACAGUAUAGCCGUAAGGCAAAUGUGAAGGUGCUGCAUGGUUGUCGUCAGCUCGUGCCGUGAGGUGUCGGCUUAAGUGCCAUAACGAGCGCAACCCUUAUCUUUAGUUACUAACAGGUCAUGCUGAGGACUCUAGAGAGACUGCCGUCGUAAGAUGUGAGGAAGGUGGGGAUGACGUCAAAUCAGCACGGCCCUUACGUCCGGGGCUACACACGUGUUACAAUGGGGGGUACAGAAGGCAGCUACCUGGUGACAGGAUGCUAAUCCCAAAAGCCUCUCUCAGUUCGGAUCGAAGUCUGCAACCCGACUUCGUGAAGCUGGAUUCGCUAGUAAUCGCGCAUCAGCCAUGGCGCGGUGAAUACGUUCCCGGGCCU
rnacentral:rRNA from 1 species